rnacentral:rRNA from 1 species
UACGGAGGGUGCAAACGUUGCUCGGAAUCAUUGGGCGUAAAGCGCACGUAGGCGGCUUAGAAAGUUGGAUGUGAAAUCCCUCGGCUCAACCAAGGAAGUGCAUCCAAAACUGCUGAGCUUGAGUACUUAAGAGGAUCGCGGAAUUCCCGGUGUAGAGGUGAAAUUCGUAGAUAUCGGGAGGAACACCAGUGGCGAAGGCGGCGAUCUGGGAAGAUACUGACACUGAGACGCGAAAGCGUGGGGAGCGAACCGG